rnacentral:rRNA from 1 species
UUUAAGCGUGUAGGUGUGUGUUCCAGGUAAAUCCGGUUCACUUUAACACUGAGGCGUGAUGACGAGGCACUACGGUGCUGAAGCAACAAAUGCCCUGCUUCCAGGAAAAGCCUCUAAGCAUCAGGUAACAUCAAAUCGUACCCCAAACCGACACAGGUGGUCAGGUAGAGAAUACCAAGGCGCUUGAGAGAACUCGGGUGAAGGAACUAGGCAAAAUGGUGCCGUAACUUCGGGAGAAGGCACGCUGACACGUAGGUGAAGUGAUUUACUCAUGGAGCUGAAGUCAGUCGAAGAUACCAGCUGGCUGCAACUGUUUAUUAAAAACACAGCACUGUGCAAACACGAAAGUGGACGUAUACGGUGUGACGCCUGCCCGGUGCCGGAAGGUUAAUUGAUGGGGUCAGCGCAAGCGAAGCUCCUGAUCGAAGCCCCGGUAAACGGCGGCCGUAACUAUAACGGUCCUAAGGUAGCGAAAUUCCUUGUCGGGUAAGUUCCGACCUGCACGAAUGGCGUAAUGAUGGCCAGGCUGUCUCCACCCGAGACUCAGUGAAAUUGAACUCGCUGUGAAGAUGCAGUGUACCCGCGGCAAGACGGAAAGACCCCGUGAACCUUUACUAUAGCUUGACACUGAACAUUGAGCCUUGAUGUGUAGGAUAGGUGGGAGGCUUUGAAGUGUGGACGCCAGUCUGCAUGGAGCCGACCUUGAAAUACCACCCUUUAAUGUUUGAUGUUCUAACGUGGACCCGUAAUCCGGGUUGCGGACAGUGUCUGGUGGGUAGUUUGACUGGGGCGGUCUCCUCCUAAAGAGUAACGGAGGAGCACGAAGGUUGGCUAAUCCUGGUCGGACAUCAGGAGGUUAGUGCAAUGGCAUAAGCCAGCUUGACUGCGAGCGUGACGGCGCGAGCAGGUGCGAAAGCAGGUCAUAGUGAUCCGGUGGUUCUGAAUGGAAGGGCCAUCGCUCAACGGAUAAAAGGUACUCCGGGGAUAACAGGCUGAUACCGCCCAAGAGUUCAUAUCGACGGCGGUGUUUGGCACCUCGAUGUCGGCUCAUCACAUCCUGGGGCUGAAGUAGGUCCCAAGGGUAUGGCUGUUCGCCAUUUAAAGUGGUACGCGAGCUGGGUUUAGAACGUCGUGAGACAGUUCGGUCCCUAUCUGCCGUGGGCGCUGGAGAACUGAGGGGGGCUGCUCCUAGUACGAGAGGACCGGAGUGGACGCAUCACUGGUGUUCGGGUUGUCAUGCCAAUGGCACUGCCCGGUAGCUAAAUGCGGAAGAGAUAAGUGCUGAAAGCAUCUAAGCACGAAACUUGCCCCGAGAUGAGUUCUCCCUGAGACUUAGAGUCUCCUGAAGGAACGUUGAAGACGACGACGUUGAUAGGCCGGGUGUGUAAGCGCAGCGAUGCGUUGAGCUAACCGGUACUAAUGAACCGUGAGGCUUAACCUUACAACGCCGAAG